rnacentral:rRNA from 1 species
ACUUAAAUUGAAGAGUUUGAUCAUGGCUCAGAUUGAACGCUGGCGGCAGGCCUAACACAUGCAAGUCGAGCGGUAGCACAGAGAGCUUGCUCUCGGGUGACGAGCGGCGGACGGGUGAGUAAUGUCUGGGAAACUGCCUGAUGGAGGGGGAUAACUACUGGAAACGGUAGCUAAUACCGCAUAAUGUCGCAAGACCAAAGUGGGGGACCUUCGGGCCUCAUGCCAUCAGAUGUGCCCAGAUGGGAUUAGCUAGUAGGUGGGGUAACGGCUCACCUAGGCGACGAUCCCUAGCUGGUCUGAGAGGAUGACCAGCCACACUGGAACUGAGACACGGUCCAGACUCCUACGGGAGGCAGCAGUGGGGAAUAUUGCACAAUGGGCGCAAGCCUGAUGCAGCCAUGCCGCGUGUGUGAAGAAGGCCUUCGGGUUGUAAAGCACUUUCAGCGGGGAGGAAGGCGAUAAGGUUAAUAACCUCAUCGAUUGACGUUACCCGCAGAAGAAGCACCGGCUAACUCCGUGCCAGCAGCCGCGGUAAUACGGAGGGUGCAAGCGUUAAUCGGAAUUACUGGGCGUAAAGCGCACGCAGGCGGUCUGUCAAGUCGGAUGUGAAAUCCCCGGGCUCAACCUGGGAACUGCAUUCGAAACUGGCAGGCUAGAGUCUUGUAGAGGGGGGUAGAAUUCCAGGUGUAGCGGUGAAAUGCGUAGAGAUCUGGAGGAAUACCGGUGGCGAAGGCGGCCCCCUGGACAAAGACUGACGCUCAGGUGCGAAAGCGUGGGGAGCAAACAGGAUUAGAUACCCUGGUAGUCCACGCCGUAAACGAUGUCGAUUUGGAGGUUGUGCCCUUGAGGCGUGGCUUCCGGAGCUAACGCGUUAAAUCGACCGCCUGGGGAGUACGGCCGCAAGGUUAAAACUCAAAUGAAUUGACGGGGGCCCGCACAAGCGGUGGAGCAUGUGGUUUAAUUCGAUGCAACGCGAAGAACCUUACCUGGUCUUGACAUCCACAGAACUUUCCAGAGAUGGAUUGGUGCCUUCGGGAACUGUGAGACAGGUGCUGCAUGGCUGUCGUCAGCUCGUGUUGUGAAAUGUUGGGUUAAGUCCCGCAACGAGCGCAACCCUUAUCCUUUGUUGCCAGCGGUCCGGCCGGGAACUCAAAGGAGACUGCCAGUGAUAAACUGGAGGAAGGUGGGGAUGACGUCAAGUCAUCAUGGCCCUUACGACCAGGGCUACACACGUGCUACAAUGGCAUAUACAAAGAGAAGCGACCUCGCGAGAGCAAGCGGACCUCAUAAAGUAUGUCGUAGUCCGGAUUGGAGUCUGCAACUCGACUCCAUGAAGUCGGAAUCGCUAGUAAUCGUAGAUCAGAAUGCUACGGUGAAUACGUUCCCGGGCCUUGUACACACCGCCCGUCACACCAUGGGAGUGGGUUGCAAAAGAAGUAGGUAGCUUAACCUUCGGGAGGGCGCUUACCACUUUGUGAUUCAUGACUGGGGUGAAGUCGUAACAAGGUAACCGUAGGGGAACCUGCGGUUGGAUCACCUCCUUACCUUAAAGAA